rnacentral:rRNA from 1 species
UACGGGGGGGGCAAGCGUUGUUCGGAAUUACUGGGCGUAAAGGGUUCGUAGGUGGCCAACUAAGUCAGACGUGAAAUCCCUCAGCUUAACUGGGGAACUGCGUCUGAUACUGGUUGGCUUGAGUGCAGGAGAGGAACGCGGAAUUCCAGGUGUAGCGGUGAAAUGCGUAGAUAUCUGGAGGAACACCGGUGGCGAAGGCGGCGUUCUGGACUGCAACUGACACUGAGGAACGAAAGCCAGGGGAGCAAACGGGAUUAGAUACCCGUGUAGUCC